AAACGAUUGAAGCCAGUCAUGCUAGUGGGAAAUCAGCUCAUAGGCUACUGUGGGUGCACUUUCUCGCAAGGCAGGUUAACAUCGAUUUCAGUUGCAUUAUAAUGAUAGUGGGAAGGUAGCUCUCUCGGGAGUGUUAUAGCCUGCUAUAGAUGGCGUGACAGAGAUCGAGGAUUGCAGCGAAUGCCUUUAGGCUACAGGUCUGGUCUUUUUAAAGGUGUGAUCUUGUCCGUCAGCAUGCUGACGACAAGUUAGCACUCUCUAAUAGGUUCAGAACUCGAUAAAUUCGCUAAGGAUGUUGACGUAAUGGCUUUAAACGA
rnacentral:rRNA from 1 species